AUUGAACGCUGGCGGAAUGCUUUACACAUGCAAGUCGAACGGCAGCACGGGUGCUUGCACCUGGUGGCGAGUGGCGAACGGGUGAGUAACAUAUCGGAACGUACCCAGUAAUGGGGGAUAACUAAGCGAAAGCUUAGCUAAUACCGCAUACGCCCUGAGGGGGAAAGCGGGGGACCGAAAGGCCUCGCGUUAUUGGAGCGGCCGAUAUCUGAUUAGCUAGUUGGUGGGGUAAAGGCCCACCAAGGCGACGAUCAGUAGCUGGUCUGAGAGGAUGAUCAGCCAUACUGGAACUGAGACACGGUCCAGACUCCUACGGGAGGCAGCAGUGGGGAAUUUUGGACAAUGGGGGCAACCCUGAUCCAGCCAUUCCGCGUGAGUGAAGAAGGCCUUCGGGUUGUAAAGCUCUUUCGGCAGGGAAGAAACGCUCUGGGUUAAUAACCUGGGGUAAUGACGGUACCUGAAGAAGAAGCACCGGCUAACUACGUGCCAGCCGCCGCAGUAAAAC
rnacentral:rRNA from 1 species